rnacentral:rRNA from 1 species
UACGUAGGCAGCAAGCGUUGUUCGGAAUUACUGGGCGUAAAGAGUGUGUAGGCGGUGCUCUAAGUCUGUUGUGAAAUCUCCCGGCUUAACUGGGAGGGUGCGGCGGAGACUGGAGUGCUAGAGUGUGGGAGAGGUAAGCGGAAUUCCCGGUGUAGCGGUGAAAUGCGCAGAUAUCGGGAGGAACACCUAUGGCGAAGGCAGCUCGCUGGGACGUUACUGACGCUGAGACGCGAAAGCGUGGGGAGCAAACAGG